rnacentral:rRNA from 1 species
CACGUAGGGCGCGAGCGUUGUCCGGAAUUAUUGGGCGUAAAGAGCUCGUAGGCGGCCUGUUGCGUCCGCUGUGAAAGCCCCGGGGCUUAACCCCGGGUCGGCAGUGGAUACGGGCAGGCUAGAGGUAGGUAGGGGAGAAUGGAAUUCCCGGUGUAGCGGUGAAAUGCGCAGAUAUCGGGAGGAACACCGGUGGCGAAGGCGGUUCUCUGGGCCUUACCUGACGCUGAGGAGCCGAAAGCGUGGGGAGCGAACAGG